AUUGAACGCUGGUGGCAUGCCUUACACAUGCAAGUCGAACGGCAGCACGGGGGCAACCCUGGUGGCGAGUGGCGAACGGGUGAGUAACAUAUCGGAACAUACCCUAGAGUGGGGGAUAACGUAGCGAAAGUUACGCUAAUACCGCAUACGAUCAAGGAUGAAAGUGGGGGAUCUUCGGACCUCAUGCUCAUGGAGUGGCCGAUAUCUGAUUAGCUAGUUGGUGAGGUAAAGGCUCACCAAGGCGACGAUCAGUAGCUGGUUUGAGAGAACGACCAGCCACACUGGAACU
rnacentral:rRNA from 1 species